rnacentral:misc_RNA from 1 species
GAAAUGCGAUAAGUAAUGUGAAUUGCAGAAUUCAGUGAAUCAUCGAAUCUUUGAACGCACAUUGCGCCCGCCAGUAUUCUGGCGGGCAUGCCUGUUCGAGCGUCAUUUCAACCAUCAAGCCCCGGCGCUUGUGUUGGGGACCUGCGGCUGCCGCAGGCCCCGAAAACCAGUGGCGGGCUCGCUGUCACACCGGGCGUAGUAGAUCUCAAUCUCGCCCAGGGCGUGCUGCGGGUUCCGGCCGUUAAAAAGAGCCUUCUAAGGUUGACCUCGGAUCAGGUAGGAAGACCCGCUGAACUUAA